GAAGACUCAGCGAGUCAGGCAGAGUCGGGAGCUGGAUGUGGGUGCCAUUUGUAUUUGUGGCAUAAAUGUUCAGAAUCAAGACUUCAUCUUGAUGGACUUUUCCUGUGAACCUGAUGGUAAACUUACAACAAUUUGCCUUCGGUCAUUGAACCCAACACCAUAGACACGUUUAUGAGGGCCAGCGUUCUGUGUGAAAUGCUGCCAGGGCUAGGAAGGUAAGAGAACCAGGAGCCCACUGACGGAGCCCACAACCUUCCCUGGUUCCUCAGGGCCGAAUGCUACAGCAAAUGUCGGGAAAGGGCUGCAAGCUGCCUUAACAUCUUCACAUGGAAGU